UACGGAGGGGGCUAGCGUUGUUCGGAAUUACUGGGCGUAAAGCGCACGUAGGCGGCUUUGUAAGUUAGAGGUGAAAGCCCAGGGCUUAACCCUGGAAUUGCCUUUAAGACUGCAUCGCUAGAAUCGUGGAGAGGUGAGUGGAAUUCCGAGUGUAGAGGUGAAAUUCGUAGAUAUUCGGAAGAACACCAGUGGCGAAGGCGGCUCACUGGCCCGGUACUGACGCUGAGGCGCGAAAGCGUGGGGAGCAAACAGG
rnacentral:rRNA from 1 species